rnacentral:rRNA from 1 species
CUGCAAUGCGCGCAAGCGUGACAGAGUGAGUCAAAGUGCCUGCCAUUAGGUAGGCUUUUGUGGAAUGUAAAAAGUCUACGAAUAAGGACUGGGUAAGACUAGUGCCAGCCGCCGCGGUAAUACUAGCGGUCCAAGUCGCAGCCAUUCUUAUUGGGUCUAAAACAUCCGUAGCUUGCUUGAUAAGUUUUCUGUGAAAUCUCAUAUCUCAAGUAUAAGAAUUGUGGAAAAUACUGUCAAGCUAGAGACCGGGAGACGUAAAGAGUACGUCUAAAGUAGCGGUAAAAUGUGUUGAUCUUAGGCGGACUGACGAUAGCGAAGGCACUUUACGAGAACGGUUCUGACAGUAAGGGAUGAAGGCUAGGGGCGCAAAACGGAUUAGAUACCCGUGUAGUCCUAGCAGUAAACACUGCACACUAAACCUUGUGAUCUCUUCGAGAGAUUGCAGGGCUGCAGGGAAGCCGAAGAGUGUGCUACCUGGGAAGUAUAGUCGCAAGGCUGAAACUUAAAGGAAUUGGCGGGGAGACACUACAACGGGUGACGCGUGCGGUUCAAUUAGAUUAUACACCGUGAACCUCACCAGGAGCGACAGCAGAAUGAAGGUCAGUCUAAAGGGCUUACCUGACACGCUGAGAGGGGUUGCAUGGCCGACGUCAGCCUGUGCUGUGAGGCGAUCUGUUAAAUCAGAUAACAGGCAAGACCCACAUCUUUAUUUACUAC